rnacentral:tRNA from 1 species
AUAUAUAUAGUAUAACCAACUAUUACAUUUAAUUUCCAAUUAAAAAAUUUAAUAAUUAUUUAAUAUAUAUA